ACAGAAUCCAGUCAGCCCAUAGUUUUUAGUCUUUAAUGACAGCGACGUGACAUUUCUUUUUACUUCUGUAUUGUUGUAAGUAAAAUAUCGUAUUAAUAUCAUAAUCGCUACAUUAUGUUAAUCGACUAACCCUCGCGUCAAAACUGCUCGUCAAAACCACCUUUUUACUACGGAGGAGACGACUCGCGCCAUGUCCCGCCGACUGGAAUUCUAGCACGAUUCCUGAGCGCGGUGAAAAGAAGAUGGACCAUUUUCUGUGUUCACCAUUCAGGCUGAAGACUCUACCAUUGCAUUCACUGCAGAAGGCUAAAUCCUCAUUUGGAUUCUUCCUCUCUAUGGAUCUCAUCAUCUUUGGACAGAAUUUAGGAUAUAUGCAGAAAUGCUGAUAACCAAGCGUCCGUUGACCGUCCAGGUCAUGGUGGAUGGGGGCUGAUUUGUGCUGCAGUUGAACUGAGCCUUCGAACCACGGAGAACCGCUGCAUUCAGAGGCUGUAGCUGCGCCUGACUGGAGGUCACUGCAGGCGACACACAAGUAACAAAUUAUUCCAAACAGAUAGAUCUAGUUAUUCAAAGCAUGGUUUCUUGUUUUUUUUUUCUCUCAUUGUAAAUCAUGUUUAAAGUAAAUGAGCAUUAUGGAAUAUUUUGGGGUAUAUCCCCCCCACCCCCGCAAUAUAUUUUGCCCAGAUAGGUUUUGGGUGUUUUUGUUCG